rnacentral:rRNA from 1 species
GACGAACCGUCCGAACGUUAUUCGGAAUCACUGGGCUUAAAGGGUGCGUAGGCGGCGCGGAAAGUUGGGUGUGAAAUCCCUCGGCUCAACCGAGGAACUGCGCCCAAAACUACCGUGCUCGAGGGAGAUAGAGGUGAGCGGAACUUAGGGUGGAGCGGUGAAAUGCGUUGAUAUCCUAAGGAACACCGGUGGCGAAAGCGGCUCACUGGAUCUCUUCUGACGCUGAGGCACGAAAGCAAGGGGAGCAAACAGG